GAUGAACGCUGGCGGCGUGCCUAAUACAUGCAAGUAGAACGCUGAAGCUUGGUGCUUGCACCGAGCGGAUGAGUUGCGAACGGGUGAGUAACGCGUAGGUAACCUGCCUCUUAGCGGGGGAUAACUAUUGGAAACGAUAGCUAAUACCGCAUAAAAGUCGACAUUGCAUGAUGUUGACUUGAAAGGUGCAACUGCAUCACUAAGAGAUGGACCUGCGUUGUAUUAGCUAGUUGGUGAGGUAACGGCUCACCAAGGCGACGAUACAUAGCCGACCUGAGAGGGUGAUCGGCCACACUGGGACUGAGACACGGCCCAGACUCCUACGGGAGGCAGCAGUAGGGAAUCUUCGGCAAUGGACGGAAGUCUGACCGAGCAACGCCGCGUGAGUGAAGAAGGUUUUCGGAUCGUAAAGCUCUGUUGUAAGAGAAGAACGAGUGUGAGAGUGGAAAGUUCACACUGUGACGGUAACUUACCAGAAAGGGACGGCUAACUACGUGCCAGCAGCCGCGGUAAUACGUAGGUCCCGAGCGUUAUCCGGAUUUAUUGGGCGUAAAGCGAGCGCAGGCGGUUAGAUAAGUCUGAAGUUAAAGGCUGUGGCUUAACCAUAGUACGCUUUGGAAACUGUUUAACUUGAGUGCAGAAGGGGAGAGUGGAAUUCCAUGUGUAGCGGUGAAAUGCGUAGAUAUAUGGAGGAACACCGGUGGCGAAAGCGGCUCUCUGGUCUGUAACUGACGCUGAGGCUCGAAAGCGUGGGGAGCAAACAGG
rnacentral:rRNA from 1 species